UUGGAGUCAAAGUGGCACACUUAAUCCAUUUUUAUUUGUGUCUCAAAUGCUCCAAUAUCAAAUGCAAAGGCGAACGGCAUCCUGAAUAAUUAUGCAUAUUAUAACAGAUGACUUGUGUUCGCCUACAAUA
ensembl:snoRNA snoRNA:Psi18S-525e snoRNA:Psi18S-525e